rnacentral:rRNA from 1 species
AGAGCGAACGCUGGCGGCAGACCUAACACAUGCAAGUCGAGCGCCCGUAGCAAUACGGGAGCGGCAGACGGGAUAGUAACACGUGGGAACGCGCCCUUCGGUUCGGAAUAACUCAGGGAAACUUGAGCUAAUACCGAAUACGCCCUUACGGGGAAAGAUUUAUUGCCGAAGGAACGGCCCGCGUCCGAUUAGCUAGUUGGUGAGGUAAUGGCUCACCAAGGCUACGAUCGGUAGCUGGUCUGAGAGGAUGACCAGCAUCACUGGGACUGAGACACGGCCCAGACUCCUACGGGAGGCAGCAGUGGGGAAUAUUGGACAAUGGGCGCAAGCCUGAUCCAGCCAUGCCGCGUGGAUGAUGAAGGCCUUAGGGUUGUAAAGUCCUUUUAACGGGGAAGAUAAUGACGGUACCCGUAGAAUAAGCCCCGGCUAACUUCGUGCCAGCAGCCGC